rnacentral:lncRNA from 1 species
GCAGCUGUUCGAUAUGGAUUGAGUUGUUUACUUGCAUAUAGGGGUGACAAUUCAGCUCGCUGCUCGCGAGCCCGCUCGUGUUGGGUUCAAAAUGAGCUCAAGAUCGAAUCACUCGUUUAGUAAACGAGUCGAACACGAGUUGAAUUUUUCGGCUCGUUUAAUAAACGAGUCGAACACGAGCUGAGGUUAGCUCACUCGUGUUCGGCUCGACAACAGCUGGAAUACAUAUAUUUUAUAUUUAUAUAAUUUAUUUAAUUUAUAUUUUUAUAUAUAAAUAAAUAAUUAUAGAUAAUAUAUAAUUUUAUUAUUUAAUUUUUAGUAAAAUAAAAAUAUAAAUUCAAACUUAAUUAUAAAAAGACUCAUUUAUAUGUAAAGUUUUAACUAUUAGAUCAAAGUUUAAUGGAUAAGAUUUUAUAAAUUUAUUUUUUAUGCAUAUUCAAUCUAAUCCUUAUUAAUUUAUUAUUCGUUGGCCAGCUCGAGAGCCAGCUCAUGUUCGGCUCGUUUAUUAACGAGCCGAAUACUAGCUAAACUUUUCGGCUCGACACUUUAACGGAUCAGCUCGUGUUCGGCUCAUUUAUUAAACGAGCCGAACACGAGCCGGCCCCAGCUCACUCGUGUUCGGCUCGAUUACACCCCUACUUGUGUAUUUAAUUAGAAGGGGCCGGAUCAGUUUGAUAUCCAUCGAAC